UGGGGAAUUUUGGACAAUGGGCGCAAGCCUGAUCCAGCCAUGCCGCGUGCAGGAUGAAGGCCUUCGGGUUGUAAACUGCUUUUGUACGGAACGAAAAGGUUUGGCCUAAUACGCUGGACUCAUGACGGUACCGUAAGAAUAAGCACCGGCUAACUACGUGCCAGCAGCCGCGGUAAUACGUAGGGUGCGAGCGUUAAUCGGAAUUACUGGGCGUAAAGCGUGCGCAGGCGGUUAUGUAAGACAGAUGUGAAAUCCCCGGGCUCAAGCCUGGGAACUGGCAUUAGUGACUGCAUAGCUGGAGUACGGCAGAGGGGGGAUGGAAA
rnacentral:rRNA from 1 species